GUUCUGUUACUCCCAGCAGUGCCAGAGUCAGGAGGUGGCCUGAGGAGGAUCGUGCCUGCCACAGAAAGUCAGUGUCCUGCUUUGUAUGCUGGUAAAUUUCUUGAAAGAAAUUGACUCCAAAGUUUCGACGAAGAAACACUGCAGAGUGUAGACUUCCAUAGCUUUAACACACUACUCCGUCUAUCAAAGUAUUUGGAAUUCACCCAGAACCAGUCUAUCAACCUUCAGAGCAACAUGGCUAGCUGCGCAGAUCUUAUGUGGUCCUUUUUCUGGCUUAUAGUGCUGUUCUUUAUAGGCUGGCCGCUCAGUAUAUUCUUUGGGGGUAUCUAUGGGUUUUUAUCACCUCUGACUACCUGUGUUGGACUGGAUCAGGUCACCGAUGUCCUUCUUCAAGGUGCAAAUCUGGGAAGAACCUGUGCUGAGAAUAUGAGAUCAAGUAAAGCUCUCUGCUGAAAGCAAAAAGGAUGGUUAUUACUCUUUCAGCAACAAAUACAUUUCGCAAAAACUGUAAGCUAUCCACUUCACCACUUAGAUCAUUGCAGAUCACUUCAUGUAAAACAAAUAGCCACAGAACUUUACGUUCCUUCUGACCUCAAUGAAUGGCUGAAGAUUUGUUUAAUUCCUUUUAUAAUUUAUUUAAAUGGACUUACAUCUUUGCAAUGAAAUCAAAUAAAUUUUUAACUAUUUGUAAUUAAAAUGCAAUAA